AUUGAACGCUGGCGGCAGGCUUAACACAUGCAAGUCGAGCGGAGAUGAGGUGCUUGCACCUUAUCUUAGCGGCGGACGGGUGAGUAAUGCUUAGGAAUCUGCCUAUUAGUGGGGGACAACAUUCCGAAAGGAAUGCUAAUACCGCAUACGCCCUACGGGGGAAAGCAGGGGAUCUUCGGACCUUGCGCUAAUAGAUGAGCCUAAGUCGGAUUAGCUAGGUGGUGGGGUAAAGGCCUACCAAGGCGACGAUCUGUAGCGGGUCUGAGUGGAUGAUCCGCCACACUGGGACUGAGACACGGCCCAGACUCCGACGGGAGGCAGCAGUGGGGAAUAUUGGACAAUGGGCGGAAGCCUGAUCCAGCCAUGCCGCGUGUGUGAAGAAGGCCUUUUGGUUGUAAAGCACUUUAAGCGAGGAGGAGGCUACCUGGAUUAAUACUCUAGGAUAGUGGACGUUACUCGCAGAAUAAGCACCGGCUAACUCUGUGCCAGCCGCCGCGGUAAAAC
rnacentral:rRNA from 1 species